rnacentral:misc_RNA from 1 species
GAUGAAGAACGUAGCGAAAUGCGAUAAGUAAUGUGAAUUGCAGAAUUCAGUGAAUCAUCGAAUCUUUUAACGCACAUUGCGCCCCCUGGUAUUCCGGGGGGCAUGCCUGUCCGAGCGUCAUUACAACCCUCAAGCUCAGCUUGGUGUUGGGCCCCGCCGCCCCGGCGGGCCCUAAAGUCAGUGGCGGUGCCGUCCGGCUCCGAGCGUAGUAAUUCUUCUCGCUCUGGAGGUCCGGUCGUGUGCUCGCCAGCAACCCCCAAUUUUUUUCAGGUUGACCUCGGAUCAGGUAGGGAUACCCGCUGAACUUAAGCAUAUCAAUAAGCGGAGGA